GUGGGUAUAGCUUAGUGGUACAGCACGUGCUUAGCAUGCACGAGGUCCUGAGUUCAAUCCCCAGUACCUCCA
rnacentral:tRNA from 1 species